ACGGCCGUAAUUGCGCUACCUCUCAUCCCGCACUCGUCAGACAAGCGAGAGCAGUGUGGCAUUACUAUCACGACGAAUCACACUAAAAAACCAGUACGAAACUUAGAUUGGGAUCAUCGGAAGGGAUUGACAACUUAAGUCAUGACUUCUGAGACAACGGAAAAGUAUUUUGCCGGUGCUAGGACAACCAUAGGAAAACUAAAGGAAACAUGGGAAACAGAUCCGGUUGUGACUAUUCUACACGAUCUUCAGGUUAACAAAGGCGACCACGUUAAUCUACGUUGUGAAUAUGACGCCAACACUAACGUUCGUAUCACUUGGAGGGAAGGGGCGAAAGUGACGGAGGGAAAUAACUUUUCGAAAUCAGGGUCUACGUGGAUGGAAAUCGGUAAAGCGGCUGCCAAACACCAUGGGAACAAGUACACCGUUACCAUCAGAGACAUCAACGGAAAGACAGCAUCCACAUCUGCAUACAUCUAUGUCUAUGGUUAGGCCAAACUUCGAAGGUUAUCCAUCAUUCCCUGGACCCAGUUAGAGAUCACAGAACCUACCACCUCCCAGCAGUGGCAUAACCAACUACAAAGACAUCACAGGAACGAACCACACUUACAUGGAGGAGCAUUCUACCACCUGUCUUCACCCGGCCCAUUAAAAAAAAUGAGAAGUUUCUGUUCCCUUUGGAGGCUCUAAUUGCAACACAUGGGGGAAAAGUCUUCGCUUUCUUUUUACACAAACGAAACGGGCCAAAAAAUAUUUUUUCUUUUCCCAAUAAAAAGAACCGGGUUUCUCAGUAAACUACAAAAAGAGUUUUAAGAAACUCGGAAACUAUUAUCCUCAGCUUCGGGGUCCUUGUUUAAUGUAUAUAUACACAUCAUUUAUCACAGAAAUGACAACAAAUUGAAAAGAAAUGUUGAUUAUGAAGGAGCCCAUUGGACAUCUUUUGAGCGAAAACAUGUAUAGCACAAGGUCCGAUUGCAUAACCCGACGGCUGCCUUGAUUUUUUUUAAAAAAGAUUCAAGAGCCUUAAUUGUUUUUGAGGAAAACAUUUUACGGUUGAAUCGUCAAGCCAAAAUACAAUGAAAUUGAACAAAAGCUUGAGAAAAUAUCUACGUGUAAUUUGAAGUUCUCCA